GAGUUUGAUCAUGGCUCAGAUUGAACGCUGGCGGCAGGCCUAACACAUGCAAGUCGAGCGGCAGCACGGGGAGCUUGCUCCCUGGUGGCGAGCGGCGGACGGGUGAGUAAUGCAUGGGAAUCUGCCCGGUAGUGGGGGAUAACCCGGGGAAACCCGGGCUAAUACCGCAUACGUCCUACGGGAGAAAGCAGGGGAUCUUCGGACCUUGCGCUAUCGGAUGAGCCCAUGUCGGAUUAGCUUGCUGGUGAGGUAACGGCUCACCAGGGCGACGAUCCGUAGCUGGUCUGAGAGGAUGAUCAGCCACACCGGGACUGAGACACGGCCCGGACUCCUACGGGAGGCAGCAGUGGGGAAUAUUGGACAAUGGGGGAAACCCUGAUCCAGCCAUGCCGCGUGUGUGAAGAAGGCUUUCGGGUUGUAAAGCACUUUCAGCGGGGAAGAAGGCAUGGCGGUUAAUACCCGCCAUGAAGGACAUCACCCGCAGAAGAAGCACCGGCUAACUCCGUGCCAGCAGCCGCGGUAAUACGGAGGGUGCAAGCGUCAAUCGGAAUUACUGGGCGUAAAGGGCGCGUAGGCGGCCUGCCAAGCCGGAUGUGAAAGCCCCGGGCUCAACCCGGGAACGGCAUUCGGAACUGGCAGGCUAGAGUGCAGGAGAGGAAGGUGGAAUUCCCGGUGUAGCGGUGAAAUGCGUAGAGAUCGGGAGGAAUACCAGUGGCGAAGGCGGCCUUCUGGACUGACACUGACGCUGAGGCGCGAAAGCGUGGGUAGCAAACAGGAUUAGAUACCCUGUUAGUCCACGCCGUAAACGAUGUCGACCAGCCGUUGGACCCCCUGAGGGUCUGGUGGCGCAGUUAACGCAAUAAGUCCAACGCCUGGGGAGUACGGC
rnacentral:rRNA from 1 species